AUGGGGAUCUGCCCGAUAGAGGGGGAUAACUACUGGAAACGGUGGCUAAUACCGCAUAAUGUCUACGGACCAAAGCAGGGGCUCUUCGGACCUUGCACUAUCGGAUGAACCCAUAUGGGAUUAGCUAGUAGGUGGGGUAAAGGCUCACCUAGGCGACGAUCUCUAGCUGGUCUGAGAGGAUGAUCAGCCACACUGGGACUGAGACACGGCCCAG
rnacentral:rRNA from 1 species